UACGAAGGGGGCUAGCGUUGUUCGGAAUUACUGGGCGUAAAGCGCGCGCAGGCGGCUAUCCAAGUCAGUGGUGAAAGCCCGGAGCUCAACUCCGGAACUGCCAUUGAAACUGUUUAGCUUGAGGAUGAGAGAGGUGAGUGGAAUUCCCAGUGUAGAGGUGAAAUUCGUAGAUAUUCGGAAGAACACCAGUGGCGAAGGCGGCUCACUGGCCCGUUACCGACGCUCAGGCGCGACAGCGUGGGGAGCAAACAGG
rnacentral:rRNA from 1 species